AUGAGGAAUUUUUACAUUGGGCCAGGUCCAUUAAGUCAAGCCCACUGUGACGCAACUCUACCUUGUGGAGUUCAUCAUCACCUUCUUCUUCUUCUUCGUCAUUCAGUAACAGAAUACCUAAUUAGUUGCAGUCGAAGGCAUCAUUUUUCUUCACGAGUGAAGGACAUUUGAUGCUUUGGAGUUUUAGUUGAUCAGAAGUUGUUUCACUUGCACACUUUUGCAAUCAUGGAUGCAAAUGGUUCCAUUGAUGAUAAGUGUGAAAGUAGAUUCUAUAUUGGUAACCUUGAUCUAAGAAUUACAGAGUGAGACUUAUAAUAACUCCUAGAAAGUUUUAAGUUUAUGAGCGCCAAACACAGAGUUGUGGCUCAGAAAGUAGGUCCACGAGUUUUGGUUUCAUGCUCUCGGAGACAACACGUUAAGGAUGAAUCUUCAAGAAUGUAUGGACCAAUAAAAGAGUUGGUGACAGAAGAGAAUCCUCCAAUUUAUAAAGAAAUGAAAAUGCCGAACUUGGUUAAACUGGUGUAUACCACAAAGCUAGAUUACGAUGUCUCCUCUCCACUAAAACACUUCAGGCUAUGAAACAUCAAAAGUUAAAGAUACUCCUGAAUGAAACUAUAUUAAUUACAAACUUUCUUGAGGGGUGUUAGAGUGAGAGAUUCAACAUUUACACGGUUUUAAAAACUCUCAUGUCUUAUUUCUAAAUAAAAGUCCCUUCAAAAUUCAUUCGGUGUA